rnacentral:rRNA from 1 species
UACGAAGGGGGGCUAGCGUUGUUCGGAAUUACUGGGCGUAAAGGGCGCGUAGGCGGCGUGUCAAGUCAGGCGUGAAAGCCCGGGGCUCAACUCCGGAAUUGCCUUUAAGACUGCAUCGCUCGAAUUGUGGAGAGGUAAGUGGAAUUCCGAGUGUAGAGGUGAAAUUCGUAGAUAUUCGGAAGAACACCAGUGGCGAAGGCGACUUACUGGACACAUAUUGACGCUGAGGUGCGAAAGCGUGGGGAGCAAACAGG